UAACGCGGGGGCAACCCUGGCGACGAGUGGCGAACGGGUGAGUAAUACAUCGGAACAUGUCCUGGAGUGGGGGAUAGCUCGGCGAAAGCCGGAUUAAUACCGCAUACGCUCUGAGGAGGAAAGCGGGGGACUCGCAAGGGCCUCGCGCUGCAGGAGUGGCCGAUGUCGGAUUAGCUAGUUGGUGAGGUAAAGGCUCACCAAGGCGACGAUCCGUAGCUGGUCUGAGAGGAUGAUCAGCCACACUGGGACUGAGACACGGCCCAGACUCCUACGGGAGGCAGCAGUGGGGAAUUUUGGACAAUGGGGGCAACCCUGAUCCAGCCAUGCCGCGUGAGUGAAGAAGGCCUUCGGGUUGUAAAGCUCUUUCGGACGGAACGAAAUGGUUACAGUGAAUAACUGUGAUUGAUGACGGUACCGUAAGAAGAAGCACCGGCUAACUACGUGCCAGCAGCCGCGGUAAUACGUAGGGUGCGAGCGUUAAUCGGAAUUACUGGGCGUAAAGCGUGCGCAGGCGGUUCGCCAAGUCAGGUGUGAAAUCCCCGGGCUUAACCUGGGAAUUGCGCUUGAAACUAGCGGGCUUGAGUGUGGCAGAGGGGGGUGGAAUUCCACGUGUA
rnacentral:rRNA from 1 species